GAUGAACGCUAGCGGCAGGCCUAACACAUGCAAGUCGAGGGGUAGAAGGAGCUUGCUCCUUUGAGACCGGCGCACGGGUGCGUAACGCGUAUGCAAUCUACCUUUUACAGAGGGAUAGCCCAGAGAAUUUUGGAUUAAUACCUCAUAGUAUAUAUCAUUCGCAUGUUUGGUAUAUUAAAGUUCCAACGGUAAAAGAUGAGCAUGCGUCCCAUUAGUUAGUUGGUAAGGUAACGGCUUACCAAGACGAUGAUGGGUAGGGGUCCUGAGAGGGAGAGCCCCCACACUGGUACUGAGACACGGACCAGACUCCGACGGGAGGCAGCAGUGAGGAAUAUUGGUCAAUGGACGCAAGUCUGAACCAGCCAUGCCGCGUGCAGGAAGACGGUCCUAUGGAUUGUAAACUGCUUUUGUACGGGAAGAAACACUCCUACGUGUAGGAGCCUGACGGUACCGUAAGAAUAAGGAUCGGCUAACUCCGUGCCAGCCGCCGCCGUAACAC
rnacentral:rRNA from 1 species